GUCUGGCUGGCUCAGUUGGUAGAGCAUGUAACUUUUGACCUCAGGGUCAUGGGUUCAAGCCCCACGUUGGACA
rfam:Felis catus isolate Cinnamon breed Abyssinian chromosome A3, whole genome shotgun sequence.